ensembl:ncRNA T18D3.14 ncRNA
AGAAGAGAAAAUAAAGAUAAGUCUCAAGAUAGGUUGGUAAUCGCUAAAGUGGUUGUGUGGAUAAGAGUAGCAAAAUGGCAGGAAGAGCACUUUGCGCGCACACACUGUACUCAUUGUUCUGGAUAAAAUUCUCUCGUUGUUUGCCGUCGGAUGUCUGCCUCUCUGCAUUGAGCCGGCUUCUUCACUAUCUUUAGUUAACCUAAAAUGCCGUUUCUUUUCUCGUAUCCCCACUAUCCCGUUGAGGUUCUCUGCUCUCUUCGCUCCCUACCGCCAGCGAGCAACUAUCCGUGGGGGCGCCUUGCUCGGAAGAUGGGGGGGAAGAAAGAAGAUUUUUGCUAUUUGCACUUGAGAAAGAG